UACUAGAAGGCAUCCCUAGAAUAUCUUUAGAUUCCAGGCUCUGCCUUAACUCUACGAGUGAAGACUCUUGCUGACCACUUUACAACUUGAUCCAAUUCAGCUUUCCAGGAGAUGUGUGCAAUGCCUCUGUACGGGCCUUGAGGACAGAUUCUCCUACUGUGGCUCAAGGGGUGCCACGGAGCUGUCUACAUGGUAAGAACAUUAAUAUUUUUUGAACAAAUUAGCUAAUUAAUAAUUAAGUUACUUUAUUUGAUGUCUCCCUCAUGUGAGGCUUUUGUAGUUUUUUCCAGUGAACAACAGGGGUUGGUUGUGACUUUCUACUGAUCUCCUGCUCCUGUGGUUCUGGGACUGUGACAACAGAAUCUGUCAUUUCUUAGAUAUCCUGCAUGUUCCAUGCACAGAGCACGGCACCCGGGGAGAGGAGAUGAUUUGAACACAGAUGGAAUGUUCCCACUCCAAUUGGUGGCAAUUUUGCUUUGGAUGAGCUGUUGAUAACAGAGCCUAGUGGGAAAAGAACCAGCAGAUAGAGACAGUGGUCAAACCAACACUUGGCUCCUUGAUGAAGAGAAAAGGCAAGAGGUCUCCCAAAUCUUAAAGUAUUGGGAGUUCAACCUCUCUUCCCACCCCUUCCCUUGGAAGGAGUGGGGAUGGCAGGUCAUGGUGGAGGUUCUGAAGAUGCUAAUUUAAAAGUCACAUAGAGCUUGUGGUCAUUUGCCCAGGAAAUGAUCUCCGCAGGCUCAAGAAUUCGAGCAUUUACUGCCCAGUUGGUGGCACUGCUUGGGGAGGUUAUAGAACCUUUGGAGGUGGCACUGACUUGAGGAAGAUCACUGGAGGAGAUGGGGUGCUUUAAGAGUUUUAUAGCUUUGCCCAAGUUCUGCUUCAUUCUCUACUUUGGGUUUGGUCUUUGCAGGAGUGAUCUCUGGACUUGCUGCUCCCGUUGUCAGCUUCCAUGCCUCCCCCACCAUUAUGGACUCCCCCUCUGAAACUGUAGUCAAAAUAAACUCUAUCUUUCAUAA